CUUUGGGUAAGAUAGUUCUCUUAAUUGCCCCCAAACUGUUUGCUGGAGAGAAAUCUGUGGUGUUGUUCUGUUGGUAGCUCUUAUUGUUUGAAAACACAGCAGUUGCACGUGGUUAAAAUUCACACAAGGCUAAAGGUAUGUGGUAAGAAAGUGCUCUUCCCAGUUCUAACUCGCAGCGCCCAAUCCCCGCCCCAGAGGCAGCGGCUGUGGCUGUGUCUUGCGUGCCCUUCCAGAGACAUGAAGAUGGAGUGGAAGCUUAACGUAAGCGCCAAUGAAACAUCUGAAACAAAUUUCACCAGAGUUAAUAACUUUGAGAAAAACCCCUCAAUCUCCACUGAUCCAGUGUUUCCACCCUGCCUCCUCUUUAACUCAUCUUCUUUCUUUUCUCUUCCUCUUUUAAUUAAAUGUUAACCCUUCUAUAUUUCUGAGUUAAGAAGACAGGAAAGGAACAAGGCGGGCAGCCUCUGCCACUACCACUGAUUGGCUCGGAAAGGAGACUCUGGCUGGCACACACCAGAUUUACCAGGACUUGAUUCUGAACUCAGCAUUUCUCCCAAGAGCACCAGUUCCGCCUAAUGAGGGCAACUCAAGCGAAUCCACAGGAAAGAAAAAGGAAAGUGAUAUUUUAAUUUUAUCCAGCCUGAAACACAACGGUACGCAAGGACGGUGCCUGCAAUUCUGACUCAUAAAUGUAUCAAUGCGUUAUUUUAUGGAAUAGAGACGUGUUCUGCCCAAAUUGGCUGUGAAGUGAAUAAACAUUAUUUUUCUACUGAAUUCAGCUAUAAAAUGACUAGAAGUCUUCCCACGGGGUUAGGAAAAAAAAGAAAGCAAAAAGCAGAAACCGACCGCCAGCGGGAAGAAAAGAAACGGCAUGGGGCCGACCGCGGCUGGCUUGCGAAGUGCAGAGGUGACUCCGUGCUCUCUGCGGCUGAUUUCUGUCGCUUUUUCCAAAUACCCCGACUGUAAAGAUCAUGCUCAUUUCCUCCCGCUUUGUUCUCCUUGUUUUCUUUUGAGGGGCUAUUAAACCCAGUGGAGCAGACUGCAAUAUUUUGCUUUACCUAGAGGUCCAUUUAACAUAAGCUUCAAGGGUUUGGCUGUAUAAACCCAGCAAUUUCCUACUUCAUCAUCGGUACAUUCACAGUUAUGCAGAUCCAGUCUCCUUGGAUGGGGAGCUGGGACCGCACCGUGCUUCAGCGCAUGGACUUCGCAGCCACACGGACCUGGGUUUGAGACAAAGCUCUGCCACUUAACGGUUACGUGAGUUUGGAGCUAUGAAAUCUCUGGGUCUCAGUUUCCACAUCUAUAUGGUGAGGAUAAUACACAUUUCAGGGGAUUACAGAAAGGAUUAAAUGAGAUUAUACAC
rnacentral:lncRNA from 1 species